rnacentral:rRNA from 1 species
AGAUCAUUACAGCGAAACGGCGCGAGCCGCCUUUCGAACCACCGCGUACCGAACCCCCCACGUUGCCUCGGCGGGCGCCGGGCGCCCCGCGCCCGCCGAACGGCCCCCCCAGCAAGACCCCUUCCGUCGAGAUGGCGUCGUCUGAACCCUCCGGGGAAAACGUUUUUGAAACGAAAAACACAACUUUCAACAAUGGAUCUCUUGGCUCCGGCAUCGAUGAAGAACGCAGCGAAACGCGAUAGCUAGUGUGAAUUGCAGAUUUCAGUGAAUCAUCGAGUCUUUGAACGCACAUUGCGCCUCUUGGUAUUCCUCGAGGCAUGCCUGUUCGAGCGUCGUUACGCCCCUCAAGCGCGAGCUUGUGUGUUUGGGGACCGCCCCUGAGACACGGCGGCGGCCCCGGAAUGCAUCGGCGGUGCUGGUCCCAGCCCGGAGCGCAGCAGACAUGCGGCUCCGCGGGCGGGCCCGGCGCCCGCCGGACAAACGACGAGACCCCCCCACGAGUCGA